rnacentral:snoRNA from 1 species
UGUUGAAUGAUGAUUAAAUCAGACGGAUUCCCACUGAUAUUAUAUAUGUGAUUUCACAACCAGCAACUACUGACAACA